CGCCGGCGGCGAAACUCCGGCAACGUGAUCUCGCCGUUCCAUUUUUUGCAUACUGAAGCUGCUUUAGAAAAUUGAUCAACAGGUAGACGUAUGAGACAUUCAAGAGCUAUUUCAUUAGGUAUCCCCGGGAUCAGGUCCAUGGCCCUAGCUCGCCUUUUUGGUAUAUUAUGAUUUGGUCGUAAAUUUGUAUGGAAGAAAAUAUUUGAAGUAAAUUUAGUUAUGUUUUUUCCUUUUUCAGAUUUAGUAGAAAGGGAAAUAAAAUCAUGAAUUUAUGGGGCAAAAUGAAAGGACAUAAUUUAUGGAACGUUGGUUUGACAAAACUGUAAGCGUGACUGGGUCCAGUUUUAUAGUGUUCGUUGGGGAUGGAUAAUGAGUAGUGAAACAAGUUAAAGAGUUUACUUUGUGAAGUAGCAGUGGGGGCAAAGUGGAGGGCACAGAGUCCAGAGAGGUUGUUUUCAGAGUAAUACACACAAGUACUGCAACUUGGUGAAUACGGCUAUAAUCAAAAUUAUAAUUGGCUGGCUAUAAUAUUUAUAGAGUAAUUACAGGCAUAUAACGCGUAGAAGUUCUUGCGAUUGUCACGUGCCAUGACAUCAUUUAUUUAUUUUUUAUCCGAUCUAUAUUAUAUUGUAAAGUUAAAUUGUUCCUAAUUAUAAAAUGGUGACAUUAUUUUUGAGACAGACUAAAAAAAAAAAGAGCGUUAAAUAAAUUGAAACAAAGAGAGUAUCUCACAAGUCAUAUGGUCUCUACAUCAAAUAUAUAGCUAGGUUUAUAAUUGUAAAAUAAUACAUUUAUGUUAAGACUAUAUUUUGUUAAAACAACCCCACAUUAUUAUAUCUACUAACCAUUUAUUUCAUAUGUAAAUAAAAUCUAUAAUCACAUCAUUAUUUUUUAAAAUUUAUUAUUCUCACCAACAUAAAAUUCAUUAUUAAUUUUAAAUUGACGAAUAUAAAUGAUAAAGUAGAAAUUGAUUUGGUGAAUACAAAUAAGAAUCGAGGGAGUAAUAUUUUUUUGGUUUUUCAUAGUAAAAAAAAAAUCUCUUUCGGCUAAAUAUGAAAAUGUUUAAAACAAUUUAAUAUUAAAAUGGACAAAAUUGGUGAUGUAUGUUUGAUAGUUACUACUUCCAGUAUGUUUGAUUUUAGCACGAAACUAAUGCAUUGAAAAUGUGCAAUUGCACACAGGUGAAAUAAGGCAUGAACCAUUAUGAUAUUGACACACACGUGAAAAUUGUCAUAGCUUGUACAAUGUCACAUUUUGCGAGAAUACCAAAGAAGUGAUGGAAUAUUUAUGGUCUAUGAGCAUGAAAAUAUAGUUGCGGAUGAUAUUGACCAACAAAUGGCUCAAAUUAACAAUGUUGGUUCGUCUUCUUUGUCAUAUGAUCGAGAUAUGCAAGUUCAACGUGAGGAGAUUGUAUGUAUUAUGUGGGAGAAUUAUAUUAAAGAUCAGUACGUACACUACAAUUUUAUGUUCAAUUUUUUUAUUGAAUUAAAGUUUGAUCAAUUAAAAUUAGAAGAAAUUGUUACUUAAGUGGAGAACAAAUAACUUUGUAAUAAUUUAUUAUGCGAUUUUAUAAAUUUUUGUUUAUUUUAUAAGAUUGAAUAAACAAUUGGGGGCUAUUUUAAUAGUUUCACAACUUAUAGAAUUCUUAUGUUUAUGAGAAAAUAUACAACACACAUAUUCAAUAUCACAUGUCCAAACAAAACUUCAUUUUCGUCUCAUGAUUUCAUAUUAUGAUAUCAUAUCAUGAUUCUAUAUAAUGAUUUCAUAUCGCAUAUCCAAACAGGCCCUUAAUAUAUACUUAUUUUGUCUAACUUCAGACAAAAAUAUGUUCCUUCUUCACUUUUUCCUCGAACGUCCUCUUCUUUUAUUUCAAAUUUUAAUUUGGUGUUGGUAUGGAGAGUUAAUGCACGCAUGAAUGUAACAAAUACAAUCAUCUGAUAUUUUAAAAAUAUGUAGAAAAGAGAGAAGUGGAAACAUAUAAUACAAUUCAACAAAUACAAUUGCUUAACACUUAAAAAAUAUAGGCCUAACCCAUUGGUAGCCCCCUAAAGUUGGCAUCAUGUUUCACUUAGACAACUUAAGGAGGCAAUGUUCAUUUUAGACAGUUAAUGUAGGGUUUCAUUGUGUCAUUUUGACACUUUUUGUUUACAUAGCAUAACAUUGACUAGCGUGUGAAAUGAUUUUUUUUGUUAAUUUUUAAUUAUAUUUUUCUUCUUCUUCCCAUUUUUUAGCUACCAUUUUGCAUACAUCGUGAAUGAAGGUUUCAAUAACUGAUGGAGUGAAUUUCUUUGAACUAGCAAAAUCUUUCAUUCACUUAAACCUAUUAAUUAGGCCAAAAAAAGAAGGAGAAAGUGACUGUAAAAUUUUUCAAUGGCGCACAGAUUUAGUGAACCAAUGCAGAUGUUUCUGUCAAAGGAAUAAAGGUAUUUAGAGAAGACAAGCCGAUGGGCCAUUUUCUGCAAAAGGUAUGGCGAAGACACACGUUGGGCGGAGAGGAUAAUCAGUGUUUUAGGGGGUGGGGUAUUUGGAGAAAACUGUUUGGGGUGGGGGGUUUCUUUUAUUGAUUUAAGUUUUAUUUUAAUUUGUAAUUAUUUGGUUCAUGUGUCAUAUUAUCAUUGGCUAAUUUUUAUUUUCACUCAAAAUUAAUGAUUUAAAAAUUACUUUUGACAUAAAUGACAAAUGUCGUUAUUUAAUUUGUCACUUUACACGUCGUUCGCGAGUGUAACACACACAUUAUAUAUUUUUGUUGAUAUAAAAAAAGUGUCAAAAUAACACAAUGGGACCCAAUAUUAAGUGUCUAAAAUGAACAUCGCCUACUUAAGAUGUCUAACUGAAAUAUGGUGCCAACUUUAGGGGACUAUCGAUGGAUUAGGCCAAAAAUAUAUAUACAAAUAUAGGCACAGAAGGUGGAAACACAUGCUACAAUCUAAAUCCACUAUGAAAUAUGAAUACAAUAAUUAUAUAUAUCCAAAAAAAUAAUAUAAAUACAGUUGUUUGGUACCUCAACAAAUAUAGAAAUACUUAGAGGGGAGAGUGAAAAUACAAAAUACAAAUAAAGAGGGUGGGGAAAGAUAGAUAUGUUUGUUUGUUUUUUUUACUUAGCAUCUCAAACAAUGUUGAUAUGAAUCGUAAAUAUUCAAACUAUAAUUUUAGAUGGUUAAUUAUAUACCCAAAAUGAUAGUCAUGUUUGAAAUUUUCUCAUUAAUUUAUUCGCAUCAAAGGGAAAAUAUUUGAAACUCCAAUAGUUGACACACCACUAUUAUAAUAUAAGUAUUUCCUCCAUUUUAUUUUAAUAUGUUUCAAAAAGAAACGUCUUUUUUUUUAAGACAAACUCUUUAGUAUUAGCUUUCCACAUAACAUAUUUAAGUUAUCAGAUUAAAAGACAAUUUUAAUGCAUUUUUAGAUAUCUUUAGUUUAAAACCACGAAAUUUUUUUUAAAAAAUAUUUUCUUUAAUGUGAAAGGGAGGGAGAGUACUAGGUAAAACUAUAUAUGUCAUUUACUAUAUAUGGCGUUUACUUGAAAAAAUGCUGAUUAGAGCUUUAUGUAGGAUUCGAGACUGGACCAUUCAACAAAGGUGGACCAUGCAUAUAUAGGCCAUAACUCACUUUUGCUUUUUUGUUUUACCCUUUAAUUUUCUAUACUAACUUGGGAUAUUAAUUGGAUCACACUUUUAUAUGGAUGUGGUAGAAUUAUAUAUUCAUAUCUAUUGAAUUACUAGAUAUAGGACCCCGUGCCAGCACGGGGCCCAAUAUAUAUAUAUAUUUUUUUUUUAUUAUUAUUAUUAUUUUUUUUUAAUUUAUGUCAUAUUAUGGAAUUUGAGAAAUUAUUGAAAAUUUUAUAUGAUUUUUAAAAUAUUUUAAAUUGUUAGCUAUUGUGAUUUGUAGUACUUUUUUUUUAACAUAAUUUUGAAAAUAAUAUUUAUUACUCUCUUUGUUCUAAUUUAUGUGGCACAUGCAAAAUUUCAAAUAUUAACCCUUUUUUAUAUGUCUCUUUAAUAUAUUAAGUUGUUAAUUAUUGUAUUUUAUACUACAUUUUGAACCUACUUUUUUAAUAAUAUAUGUUAUUUGCCAUGUCCCAAUUUAUGUGGCAUUAAUUGAUAGAUUUGUUGGAGCUUGUUAAUUAUUGUAAUAUAUAAUAUGGAGUAUUUAAGUUAUAUAUAUUUAUUAUUAUUAUAAAUAUAAAUAUAAAUAUUAUAUGUUACCUUUUUUAUCUUAAUUUAUAUGGCAUUGAUAGAAUUUAAAGUGUCAAAUAAUUGUUAAUUAUUGUAAUAUAUAAUAUGGAGUAUUUAAGUUAUAUAUAUUUAUUAUUAUUAUAAAUAUAAAUAUAAAUAUUAUAUGUUACCUUUUUUAUCUUAAUUUAUAUGGCAUUGAUAGAAUUUAAAGUGUCAAAUAAUUGUUAAUUAUUGUAAUAUAUAAUAUGGAGUAUUUAAGUCAUUUAUAGUAUAGUAAUUAAUAUAUAAUAUGUAGUAUUAAAGUGGAAAGUGGUGGGGCCCACGUAUAAAUAUAUUGGAUAUUAGUAGUGAUUCUUAUUGGAACACAUGUUGAGGUGUGGUGCUUGGUUAUUCACACUUAUUAUAUAUAGUAAUAUAAAUUUUAAAAGAAAAGAUUCUUUGAGUCUUCUCGAAGGAAAAAGACCGCAAAGAGAAGUUCAUGAUAUCUCUUUCGGAUGAAUUGUCAAAAGUUUAAAAUUUAUAAAUCGUGAAUUCAUAUAACAAUAUAAUUUAGUCAUUGAGUUCAUACAUUUAAUAUGUUGAGAGAGAUCUAAACAAAACUUAUUUGAUUUGUUCGAGCCAACACCUCUUUCUACCAAAGAAACAUGACAUGAAGGGUGAUGGUCAAGUGUUCUGGCAUGAUUCGUUGUCAUGGAAAAAUCCAUUUGCUUAUAACACUACUAUAAAAUGUGAUAGUUUUGGCAACAUUGUAUGUUUUAUAUAUUGGAGAUUUCAAAGUUUUUAAUUGUCUUUUUAUAUAUAUACCAUAUUAUUGUAAGCUAACCAAUGAUGUGGACAACUCGUGUAAAAUACUUUGCCACAGCUAGUUUUAAUCUUUUGUUAUUAUAAUGAUAGUAUAAAAUUUGUUUAAACUAUUAAAUAUAACACAAAUUAUUUAACUCGUGCGUUACAUGCUUGAUUUAUUAAGUGUACCUGAGUCGGGUAUAAAAAAUGAUACUCUUUCUAUAUUCAUUCACAAGAUAAAAAUAAUUAAGAUUGCGUACACAUUACUAUCUUCAAACCCCGCGCAUAGAAAGAAACUUUAGAGUGACGAAAAUUGUGGAGUAGAUUUUUUUUGUUAGUAUCCCAAACUUUAUUAGUCACUACCAUAAGAUUCUCUAUAGCUGGACAAAGCUGCUACGUAAAUAAAAUAAAAGGGGAAAGAAGAAAAAGAGGUAAGGUUGUUUUUAAAACUGAAAGGAAUAAAGGGAAGAGGAAAAAGGAAAAGCGACUAAAUUAAAUUAAAUUAAAUUAAAUGGGAAUAAAGGUAAUCUUCUUGUUUUUUAACAAAGGCUAACCACACUAUAGAUGACUAGCCAUAAAGGCAAAAUGUAUGGUUCAAAUUGCAGACGUGGUAAUGUACACAUUUUAUGUUAGAUGAGAAAACACACUUGAACCAAAAAAAAUAAAAAAAAUAAUGAGAAAAGACGUUUCCUAUUGGUGUUCUAGAUUCGCGCCAUGUAUGACCUAUUAGCGUUGUUUAUCAAGAAUAUUUUCAUCUUCAAAAGUCAAAUUCGAGACUUUUGAUUGAGGAAAGAGCAACUUCAUUCACUUUACCACGUAACAGAUGAUAGUUUUUUCGAUUAUUAGACGGCAACUGACAUUCGAUUAUUCUUUGUCCAUUUUUAGUGCUGUUAAAUCGAUUAGUAUAAUUUGUUUGUUUCCGCAUGUUUGUACGAAGAAUAAGGAAUAGUUAUUAAUUUCAUAAUUAAUUUAAGAUGCAUUUAUUAUAUGUUUGAUUGAGAUAAAAUUAUAAGAUAAUUUACUUUGAGAUUGUAGUGUUAUUUUUAUCCCACAUUAAGAAUGACGAGGCGAGUAACAAAUAUAAAGAGAUAUUAAUAUGGUGCAAAAGAGAGAAAUAAAAUACCCUCUAAUUAAAAAAAAAUUAUUAAAGGGAUGUACAAAACAAAAUACACCCUUGAUUCCUUUUUAUUUGUCACAGUUUCAUUUUUAUAGUGAAACGAUAUGAACUUUGACUAAUAAUUUAAGAUGUAUUUUUCAGUAUUAUUGAUAUAAAAAAAAUUGUAAUUUCUAGUACUUUUUGUAUAGUUUUUGAAUAUCUAAUUUUUUUAUUUUUAAAUAUAUUAAAUUAAUGCAAAACAUUGAAAGUUAAUACUCUAAAAAAAUGUAACGUGACGGCUAAACAGGAACGGAUGGAGUAUAACAAGCAAGAUGGACCAUAGGGAGAAAUUUCUUCCUCAUUAAUACUUAUUAUUGAUUUGUCAGGAAGAAGAAUCAUCUUACCAAGUUGAUUAGCUAAUUAAUCUGAUUAUAAAGUCAACUCCAACAUUAUUGUAAUGAGCAUUAAUUAAUAAUAACAUGUUUAAUUGAACAAAUUCAAGCAUUAGCCACCGAUAUCAUCGAUCCACUUGCUCUAAACCAUCCAUUUUUCAACUUCAUUAUUUUGAGAAUGUAUAAUAGCUUCUUCCCAUAUUUUUUAAUUAAAUGAUGUUUGCAGAUAAUUAUUGAUUCAUUACACUUAAUGUCAAUAAAAUUGAUUUUUGUAACGAAAAAAUUACUCAACUAUGUUUAUAUCGUAAAGGAAAUUUUAAAAUAUCAACAAAAUGAUAUUUUUUUCUUUUUCUUGGUAUUUUUAUUUUGGGAUCCCACUAAUUCAGCAUUUUCGAUAAAAUGUUUUGUUCGACUCUACAAACACAAAUAUCUCUAUAGUAGUACCAAGCAAAAACGUUUUUUUCCUCCAUUAGAUUAGCAAAAGUGUGGCACAAUAGUAAUCUUUAACCAUGACUGCAAGAAAUUGAAUGUCAAAUGUAGGCAGUAGGCCAAUACUAUGCUUUUUCACAUGUAGUAUUUUGUCAAAACAUGAUUCACAAUACACAAUGGUACAUAGCCAAAAAUAAAAGCAAUCAUGACAGAAUAAUUUUAUUUUAUUUUUCCAUUUGUUAUCUGAUAAUCGUAUUAAGGUUUGAUUAGUCCAAAUUUGUAUAUUACAUGACUCAUUGUUAAAGGCGGUGCUUCCAACAAAAUUAAAAAAUGAGACGGAUCGAGAUAGAAGAUCUCUAACCAUGACCAUAAUGCAAUAACAAUAUGUAGAUAGUAAUCAAUAUGGAUCGUGGUGAAAUGAUUGAGAUUCCUCUAUCCUUGACCAGAAAUUUCAUAUUCGAGCCCUAAUAUGCCGAAUGAAAAAAGAAGACAAUAUGCAGAUAGUAAACCAAUUCAAAACUUGAAACACAAUACACAACUGUACAUGCUAAAAAUUAGAGCAAUCAUGCCAGAAUAAUUGAGUAUCUUAGAAAGGAAAUUAAAAGGACAAAAAAACACUCUCAUUCUUAAAACUAAGUACUGAUUUUUGUCAUAUUUCCAAACAACAACCAUAUUGAACAUGACCACUAUAUUCAUCAGAAGUUUCUACUUUUGUCCAUUUUUUCACUUUGCCAUCACUCUCCACAUCCAAAUCCAAAGCAUAAAUACUAUAUAGUUCAUCAAAUUGGCCCCUUCCCACCAAUAUCAACUUCCCUUGACACGCUGUCAAAUAUGCCACGCUGGUAAUCCCUGCUGGCAACCCCGCCAACUUCUGCCACGUAGGAUCUUCCUUCACUGCCACGUCACCACCUCGGCACAGGUAUAAUCUCCCAUCAUCACCUUCAAUGCAACUAUGAGGAGAAGUGUUGAUCACACUCAAGAAGUCAUCUUCCAGUUGCCACUGCCACGUGGCGGUGUCGAACACCUCAGCAUCAUUCUCAAAGUGACCUUGCGCCCACGUAGGAUAACCGCCGAUGACGUGGAAUUUACCUUUGUGAAAUACAACCUUACAUUCGUCUCUCUCCAUGACCAUGUCAGGAAGUGUAAUCCACUCGUCUUUAACGACGUCGUAUGAGAGCGCCGAUUUCAUCGCAUUCUUUUCGUCGUCAUGGCCACCGGCGACGACGAUCAUUCUAUCGGAAUCCGAUGCACAUCCGAAGAACGACCUCUGCUGACCUGGCAUAUCCGCCCCACGACGCCAUGACCCGGAUAUGAAAUUGUAAACGAAAACACAAUCCAUAACCCGCCAAGUAUCCGGAUCACACCCGCCAAUCACUACUAAAUCCGACCCGACUCCAACAAUCCGGCAAAACCUCGGCAAUCCAUCAAUCAACUCCGGUAUUGGCGGCAAAUCGUACCAGGAGCCGUUUUCCGGGUCACAUACGGAGAGACGGUAAACCUGAGUAGAAAAAAGUGCAGUAUCACCCUCUGAUUUUUUCACAGUAGCAACCAUAGAUUGUACCAUGGCUAAAACGGGUCGGGUCAACCCGGAAAAUUUCCGCCGGCGGAGAAACUCCGGCAACUUGAUCUCACCGUUCCAUUUUCUACAUACUGAAGCUGCUUUAGAAAAUUGAUCAACAGGGAGACGUAUGAGACAUUCAAGAGCUAUUUCAUUAGGUAGCCCCGGGAUCAAGUCCAUGGCUCUAGCUUACUUUUUUUGUAUUAUGAUUUGCUUUUGGAUUGGAAGAAAUAUUUGAAGCAAUUU
rnacentral:lncRNA from 1 species